UACGGAGGGGGCCAGCGUUGUUCGGAAUCAUUGGGCGUAAAGGGCGCGUAGGCGGCCACGCAAGUCGGAUGUGAAAUCCCUCGGCUCAACCGAGGAACUGCAUCCGAAACUGCGAGGCUCGAGUCCUGGAGAGGGUAGUGGAAUUCCCAGUGUAGCGGUGAAAUGCGUAGAUACUGGGAGGAACACCGGUGGCGAAGGCGGCUACCUGGACAGGUACUGACGCUGAGGCGCGAAAGCCAGGGGAGCAAAC
rnacentral:rRNA from 1 species